rnacentral:tRNA from 1 species
GCUUUGUGGUGUAGCGGUAGCACACUCGGCGGGUAUUCGAGAGGUCCAGGGUUCGAGUCCUGGCAAGAGUA